GUACACUCCUACGGGAGGCAGCAGUGGGGAAUUUUGGACAAUGGGCGAAAGCCUGAUCCAGCAAUGCCGCGUGUGUGAAGAAGGCCUUCGGGUUGUAAAGCACUUUUGUCCGGAAAGAAAUCCUUGGCUCUAAUACAGUCGGGGGAUGACGGUACCGGAAGAAUAAGCACCGGCUAACUACGUGCCAGCAGCCGCGGUAAUACGUAGGGUGCGAGCGUUAAUCGGAAUUACUGGGCGUAAAGCGUGCGCAGGCGGUUUGCUAAGACCGAUGUGAAAUCCCCGGGCUCAACCUGGGAACUGCAUUGGUGACUGGCAGGCUAGAGUAUGGCAGAGGGGGGUAGAAUUCCACGUGUAGCAGUGAAAUGCGUAGAGAUGUGGAGGAAUACCGAUGGCGAAGGCAGCCCCCUGGGCCAAUACUGACGCUCAUGCACGAAAGCGUGGGGAGCAAACAGGAUUAGAUACCCUUGUAGUCCC
rnacentral:rRNA from 1 species